rnacentral:rRNA from 1 species
GAUGAACGCUGGCGGCGUGCCUAACACAUGCAAGUCGAACGGAAAGGCCCUGCGCUUGUUGGGUUGCCGAUUGGCGAAGGCGUGAGUAUCACGUGAGUAACCUCCCCUUGUCUUUCGGAGAACUUCAGGGAACUGGGGAUACUACCGGAGAGGAUCUUCUGCACCGUGGUGGGGAAUGGAAAUUUUCGGCGGUGGGGGAUGGAUUGGCGGGUUAUCAGCUGGUUGGUGGGGUAGUGGCUGACCAAGGCUUUGACGGAUACGCGGCCUGGGAGGGUGACCGGCGACAUUGGGACUGCGAUAGGGCGCAGACUCCUACGGGAGGCAGCAGUGGAGAAUCUUGCACAGUGGGCGGAAGCGUGAUACAGCAACGCCGGGUGCGGAAUGCCGGCCUUCGGGUUAUAAACCGCUUUCGCCUGUGACGAAGCGUGAGUGACGGUAAUGGGUAAAGAAGCACCGGCUAACUACGUG